rnacentral:rRNA from 1 species
AGGAUGAACGCUGGCGGCGUGCCUAAUACAUGCAAGUCGAGCGGUAAGGCUCCUGCAGUUUAUUUAACGGAUGAGCGAUCAUCAAUCUCAAAGCUAUGGCUAGCAAUGAGUGUUGAAUAAAGUGCUGGAGUACACGAGCGGCGGACGGCUGAGUAACACGUAGGAACGUACCCCAAAGUGAGGCAUAAGCACCAGAAAUGGUGUCUAAUACCGCAUGUGAUCUUCGGAUUAAAGCUUCGGCGCUUUGGGAACGGCCUGCGCAUGAUUAGCUUGUUGGUGAGGUAAUAGCUCACCAAGGCGACGAUCAUUAGCUGGUCUGAGAGGAUGACCAGCCAGACUGGGACUGAGAACGGCCCAGACUCCUACGGGAGGCAGCAGUAGGGAAUUUCCACAAUGGACGAAAGCCUGAUGGAGCAACGCCGCGUGCAGGAUGAAUGCCUUCGGGUUGUAAACGUGUCUUUUAUA